GACGAGCGCUGGCGGCGUGCUUAACACAUGCAAGUCGAACGGUAAGGCCCUUCGGGGUACACGAGUGGCGAACGGGUGAGUAACACGUGGGUGAUCUGCCCUGCACUUCGGGAUAAGCCUGGGAAACUGGGUCUAAUACCGGAUAGGACCACUGCCUGCAUGGGUGGUGGUGGAAAGCUUUUGCGGUGUGGGAUGGGCCCGCGGCCUAUCAGCUUGUUGGUGGGGUGAUGGCCUACCAAGGCGACGACGGGUAGCCGGCCUGAGAGGGUGACCGGCCACACUGGGACUGAGAUACGGCCCAGACUCCUACGGGAGACAGCAGUGGGGAAUAUUGCACAAUGGGCGCAAGCCUGAUGCAGCGACGCCGCGUGAGGGAUGACGGCCUUCGGGUUGUAAACCUCUUUCAGCACCGACGAAGCGCAAGUGACGGUAGGUGCAGAAGAAGGACCGGCCAACUACGUGCCAGCAGCCGCGGUAA
rnacentral:rRNA from 1 species